CUCUGCGGACCCGGUACCGGGUCCAAAAAUAGCAUGCAAAAUGUUCGUGUUUCAUUUGCAAAGCCUUCCUUAUAUGGUAUCAGCCCAUAUAUGGGUUCAUUUGAAAGUUUAGAGUGUUUUCUUUACAAAGAAUACCAUUAAUUGGGGUUUUAUGAUUCAUAAAGUAGUAAAAUUAAGCUAAGAAAUAUAUUUCCCCCCCACACACAUUUCCGUCUAACGAUUAGGAAUAUUUUUUCCAUAAGAAUGUGUAUUUAAAAUAUUUUUCACAAAACAGUCAAGUCAUAUAUCACAAGAAAGCUCUCAUUCUCAGGAAUCUGACGAUGUAGAUCAUUUUAUUGUGUGACAAUCACAGAUCGAAUGAUCUUCAACAGAAUCGCGAUGUAAAAUUUCUCACCUCAUUGCAAAUUAUUAUUUAUCCAUCUUAGCACCGCUUCAGUCACCCGCAAACAGCCACACAUACCUAUAUACUCGAUAUAAUCUUUUAGAUUAGAAUCUCUUCUUUCAAACAAGACCAUUUUUACGUUUCUGCGUGCUUCCAUUGGUGAGAUAUAAAGCGUUAUGUCCAGACGCGCUCAAAGAGAAAGACGCAGUUCUUUGAGACAGAAGCGCUCUUCAUGUCAUAAGACAAGCCUAAGCGGCUUUCUUCUGAUAUAUCGAUCGGAUCUCUUUUGUGAACCACUAUUUGUCCCUUCAGCUGUCAGUCUGAGCUGUGUGCUCCACUCAGAGCUGCUGAAUUUGACACCUCUGCGUCAACAGCGGGGGGAUGGAGUGGACAGUGAUGACCACAUCCUCCUCAGCCGGUGAAGCACUGGCUGAUGGGAUACUGAGUCCUCAAGUGUCCGUAAACAAAGAUCACACGCGGAAUAACUCGCGUCGCGGUGAUUAUCAAAUGUAUAAUAAUCAUACUACAAGUUAUGGAUGACCACCGUCGCCGUGGAGAGGACAGGACGCGCAUCUGGUCGUGUACAAGCUUCGGGCAGCGGAUAAGCGCUGAUAAUGCGUCAAAACAACAGAAGGGACGCUGGAAUAUGAAAUAUUACAGAUGAUUGAGACAG